AAAUUGGGUAUGGGUUGCAGAAGAAUUUACUGUUAGUUUCCUGUUGACCACUGGCUGGUAGAGUCUAGUUUUUUUUCAACGUGUAACAUUUCUGUUUUUGAGAUUCUUGUUAAUUCUUAUUUUAUGUUUUGUGAAGUACGUCACCAUGACAUUGGAUUCGAUUAGUACCCCGAAAGUGAUUGUGCCGUACGAGUGGAUCCUGGAAAAUGUCGAGGAACAAACGGCAAUAACAAUUGCAUCGAAAAUGAUUCUGUUUCGAGGUGAACGAGUAUUCCGUGUGGGGUUGAAGAAUCACGCCAAAUCACCCAUUUUGUUUUUCAUGGCAAUUGAUCUCGGCAAAAUCGGGAUGAAAGUGGAAGAAGUAACGUACCAAAUUCAAGGUAGUAGCACAGGACCUGUAAUCAUCAAGCCAAUGACAAAGGAGAACAUCGGCGAUGGAGGAAGUUUGCAGCUAUUUAAAACUCCACUUGACAAGAAGAUUGUUGGAAAUUGCACGUUUUCUUUUCGAAUAAUCAUCGAAGGAGUUAUUUCCUGCUAUUCAACCUAUGGCUAUUCCUAUCGACUGUCUGAUCGUCUUGCCAAGGAUCAAUUAUGGGCUGCUCUGAAAAUUCAAAGACAUUUAGCGGACGUUGAAUUUGUCGUGAAAAACAAGACAUUUCCCGUUCACAAAGCCAUUCUUGCUGCUCGCAGUCGAGUGUUUGCAGACGAAUUUGAGAAGGUACAACCGGUAAAAGACGUUCCUCAUCAGAUCCGGAUUGAUGGAGUGGAACCUUCAACUGUGAAGAAGUUUCUUCACUUUGUUUACACGGGAGAGCCAAUGGGAACGUUGGCAGAUGAAGAAUUGCUCAAGUUAGCCAACAAGUACGGGCUGCUGGCUCUGUCUGGUUUAUGCCAAGUUGCACUGAAGAAAAUUGAGGCCAUGCAGAUGGUAAAAGUCAUGGACAUUUUAAAUAACGGAGUUGAAGCACCAAAUUCUUCUUCCAAAAUCAUGCCGGAUAUAGAUACAGAAAUAAUUUUUGAUCGAACUACGCCCACUUUUAGAUGCGCUUUGCGGUUUACUGAAUCCGGAAUACCUAAGUGUAUAAUGGAAUAUAAAAAAGAAGAAUUGUUUUUCGCUUACGUCACUGGGAAUUUCGGUGAAAGCUGUAUCAGUAAACCUGGGAUUCAUUUUACAUGCGCCAAGCAUCGAAAAUUCGGCUUGAAAGUUGAAGAUAUUUAUUGCCAACUGAAGAAUAACCGACUUAUGGUUAAGUUGGAAGCGAAGAAAUCAAAAGAAAACGCAAAAGUACUUUUACGCUUCAACAUGUGGUAUAAUUCAAUUUCUCUCACCUCAAAAUUCAUUGACUUCAACCUCGACAUCAAAACAAUGUGUACGAUCAGCAACUAUAACUACGAGAUGAUGGACGACGCUUGGCCGACAGAUUUUUGGAUGGCAGCAACAAACCAAAAGUUGACGGAUGUCGAAAUUAUUGUCGGAACUGUUAAAGUGAUGGAAGCCCACCGAGUUAUUCUAUGCGCCCGGAGUCCUGUCCUGAAUGCAUCUUUUAGCAAAAUCAGAUACACUGAAAAGUCUAUUGUCAUAAUCGAAGCAGAAUUCGAUGUCGAGAUUGUCAAGAAUUUUCUAAAUUUCCUUUACACCGGAUCGUUAAAAACGACUGACGGUGGCCAUCAACUUGGUAAAUUGGCCGCAAUGUACGACGUAGAGACAUUGAAAAAUGUGUGUCAACUACUUAACGCCAACCCACCGGAUGCCGAAGAACUGACCGACUAUCUUCUGCAGCUUUAAUCGCCGGAUAAGUGCCGUUUGUGCAGUGUUUGGAUAUCAAAGUCGAGAAAUAACUACAAAAAGGUAACGCAUUUACGUCCAUUUUACUGACAGGAGACACGUCGUUAUCAUUUAACACGUCAAAUAGUGAAAUUCAAAACACCUUAUAUUACAGCCAAUUGCCACAUCUUACACACACCUCCCUACACUGAUUUAUCAGCACCUGAUAGUGU